UCGGACAGUGACCCUCCGUUGCCCCUGGUGGUCACGCUUAGUACAAGGACAGGCAUUUACUGUGCCUGGGCCAGUGCUCGGUCUGUGCGAGGCAUUUUACUGCCAGCAUCUCAUUUACCCUGAUCCUCCGAGGUACCUCUGGUGAUCCUGAGAUCUGGCAAAAAGGGCGCUGGACUAUUCACUUCUUCAGACACCACCCACUUUACAGAUGAAGCCACUGAGAUAAUGGAGCAACUGACUAGUCACCACCCCACCUCUGGAGCCUCACACAGGACUCUUCUCCUCCCACUUAAGUGACUGCAGGUGAGACAUGGUCUUGUCACUGUAACAUAAUAGUUGAGAAUGAGACUCUAAAGUCAGCCUUCUGGGGUGUGAAUUCUGACUCAGCCACUUACUGUGUGUCCUUGGAAGAGGGAGACAUACCAAAGGGAAGAUGGCCAGAUGAAGAUGGAGGCAGAGAUUGAAGUUAUGCUGCUACAAACCAAGGAAUGGCAAAGAUAACUAACAACCAUCGGAAGCUGGAAGAGGCAAGGAAGGAUUCUUCCCUACAGCCUUCUGAGGGAGCACAGCCCUGCUGACACCUUAAUUUUUGACUUUUAGCCUUCAAAACUGUAAGGAAAUGGAGGCCCAGAAUGGUCAAAUAUUUGGAGAUCUCUCAAGGCCACUGCUCUGCUGGCUGGGCACUUACCCUGAAGCUCCUGCUGUUGCUGUUGUCAGCUCUCCACUUUCACCACAGCCGUCAGCUUCUGGUAGUGCUGGGGCUGAGCUGCUGGAAUGGCUCCUUUCUGUCACAGCAGGCCCAGCCUUUUCCCCAUCUUUGCCCACUUCACAUCCGAAGCAGAAACUCUUCUCGUGAGGUUUCUGGCUAGAGCCUGAUCAUUUCACCAGGCCUCUUACUGACUCCAGCCCUUCAGCCUUUACUUUUCAUUUCCAUGCAUUGUCAGAGACGUGUGGGUGACAAAUUUGAGGGGAGGGUCACCCAGCUCCUGGCAAUUGAAUUAUGCUUCUCAUUUCUGGCCCGCUUAUGCUUCCAAGAAUUUUUCAGUAGACAAUUCAAGUCUUUAUUUUUCUUUGGAGCUUUUAAGAUCUCACACAUAGCUCAUAUGGCACAUAUCACAGUUCAUGGCUGUGAGCAGAAAAGGAGCUGCUUCCUGGUAGCACUGUCUGUGGCUGCCCCGGUCACCUGCUCUUGAUGAACACAAAUCACCGCAGUGCCUCUCUCCCCUGCCACUGGGAAUGGUGGGGAUAAGGACAUUAUUUGACCCAGCUCUUCAGUGUAGCUCCUUGUCAGCCCAUGGUCUCUUUUGCUGGCAUCCCAGGAGAGAUUUCCUCCUCCUGCAUCCUGUUGCUGGCUCUGGAAUCUUGUCUAUUUUCCACUAUAGACCUUUUGCUUUGGAUCCUGCUCUUAUUGUCAGCUCCUCUCACUAGACUGAACUUUGGGAACAUAUUUUUUUUAAAAAAAUUAUGUUUUUAUUUCAGAGAGGAAGGGAGAGGGAGGGAGAGAUAGAAACAUCAACAAUGAGAGAGAAUCAUUGAUCGGCUGCCUCUUGCAUGCCUCACACUGGGGAUCGAGCCCACAUCCUGGGCAUAAGCCUUGACUGGGAAUUGAACUGUGACUUUCCUGGUUCAUGGAUUGAUACUCAACCACUGAGCCAUGCUGGCCAGUCAAAACCAUAUCUUUUGUUUGCUGCUAUAGCCCAGGACUGAGCAAAGACCUGGCACUGACUAGCUAAUCCCUCAGGAAAUGUUCAUUGAAUAAAGAAAUGAAUGUUGACCUUAAA